GUUUGAUCCUGGCUCAGGACGAACGCUGGCGGCGUGCUUAACACAUGCAAGUCGAACGGAGAACCCUUGACGGAGGUUUCGGCCAACUGAUCGGAAUUCUUAGUGGCGGACGGGUGAGUAACGCGUGAGUAACCUGCCUUUCAGAGGGGAAUAACAUUCUGAAAAGGAUGCUAAUACCGCAUAACAUCGUAGUAUCGCAUGGUACAGCGAUCAAAGGAGCAAUCCGCUGAAAGAUGGACUCGCGUCCGAUUAGCUAGUUGGCGGGAUAAAGGCCCACCAAGGCGACGAUCGGUAGCCGGACUGAGAGGUUGAUCGGCCACAUUGGGACUGAGACACGGCCCAGACUCCUACGGGAGGCAGCAGUGGGGGAUAUUGCACAAUGGGGGAAACCCUGAUGCAGCAACGCCGCGUGAAGGAAGAAGGUCUUCGGAUUGUAAACUUCUGUCCUCAGGGAAGAUAAUGACGGUACCUGAGGAGGAAGCUCCGGCUAACUACGUGCCAGCAGCCGCGGUAA
rnacentral:rRNA from 1 species